GUUUUGAUGCUUUUCAUGUCUUUGGGCAGUUUGCUGUGUUUAUUUUGGGGGGAAGGUCAGCACUCCCAGCUGAUGCUGGGAGAAUGCUCUGGGAGAGAAGCAUCCCUGGAGACAGCCCUCCUUCCAGCAGCACAUGGCAAAACUCUGAGACUUCCCUUUCAGUGGGAGGCACAGGAGAUAUUUUGGACUGCAAGCUGUGGCUUUAAAAAAACACACCCAGUAGUGAUUUGAGGUUUUCUUCUUGAAGCCUUCCUGACUUUGAACAUAAAUUGCAUCUGUUUUGGUAAGCAGGCUACCAGCAAGCCAGACCUGUUCCUGGGAUUACUGUGACCACAGGUAUAGCUGUUUCUUUUCCAUAUGGGAUGACUUAGGCCCCUGUUCCCUGCCGGUGUGUGGUUGGAUUUUACCUUCCUCCACAUCGUGGCAUUUUGGAAAGAGGGGCUUGUUUUACAGAGCAGCUGUGUUGUCUUAAUGCAGCUGUAACGUGUGUUUGUCUCGGAGCACAGCAGGACUAGGAAGAGGUUUUAUUAGAUCAUUCCCAGGUCCCAAUAAUCUCUGAGGCUCUCAGAUCUGUGCUGCUCUCGCUCCGUAGGACAGGGCUGGAAGCUGAAGAUGGGAAAUCACUUGUGUGUGAUCCUUUAUCUGCUUCAUCUCACAGCUGCUGCUCCCCUCCUGGCUGUUUGUAGCAGCCAGAGAGGACCUAGUUCUUGUAUCCCAGACCUUCAACCACAGCCUAACAGCCUCCAAGGGAUCCUCCCUGCUUGGGCUGGUGUUUGUGGCACUGCUGGUGGCUCUGCAGCCUGGAUCCCAAGGAGCGUUCCCAUCCCAUCACCACUGACUGCCAGCAUCGGGAUCACGGCCACCCAGGGAGUUGGACAUGAUGGAGCUGGACACACACCAGGGUCCCCAUCCUGCUGGACAGCUGGAGGAUGUUCCCACCAAAUGAUCAGCAGGUCGAGGAUGCUGCAUAAAACACUCAGCAGUGCCCCUUUAACGUGGAAGCAACUUGAAUUUUAUUGCCAGUGCUGAAAGCAUCUACAAAUGUAGAUUUAGCAUCAGCCUCCGGGCUUAAGAUACAGCUGUUAUAUUUUCCUUUCUUCCUUUAAUUUUUUCCCCCUCUCUCCUUUGCACUAAUGUAAUGCUUAUUUAGGAACUACAGCCAUCUGUGGUUGCUAGGGAUGGCACUGUUAAAUUUGCUGUUGCUUUCUUUCCCCUGGUUUGAUGAGGCUCUCGGUGCACAGAGAAUUCCCCAGGACAGCAGAGACUCGCUUUGAUUGCUUUUUUUUUGAAACACAUCCUAAACACAUUGUUCACAGGGCUCUGUCUGUGCUGAGAAAAGGUGGUCAGCUGGAGAGCUGAGAUCCUGCCUUGUCGUGGGUUAAUGAGGUGAGAUUAUGAAGAACCAGGCAGCAAAAGAAGUUGAUGAAAUUAGAAGGGAUGGCAAAUAACAAGGGAGGGAAGGAGGAAGGGCUGGGACCGGAGCUCUUCCUGUUCCUCACAGCAGCCUGUGGUUAAUGGUGAGAUGAUUCACGUGGGAAUUGGGGCACUUGCAAUACUCAAGGGAGUUUUUUAGUAUUUUUCCAGUGAAAUGCUGUGCCUGAGCAGAUGGACAGGGAUCUGCCCCGAGUGGGCAGUCUGGAGCUGGGCACAGCCCUGCACAGCAGGUGUGGUGUUGCCAGCAGGGACUUGGCUCUGUGUCAGCAAAGGCAAAGUUGGCUUCUGCCUCUUUUGUCCCCGAG
ensembl:lncRNA